rnacentral:rRNA from 1 species
GACGAACGCUGGCGGCGUGCUUAACACAUGCAAGUCGAGCGGUAAGGCCCUUUCGGGGGUACACGAGCGGCGAACGGGUGAGUAACACGUGGGUGACCUGCCCUCAGCUCUGGGAUAAGCCUGGGAAACCGGGUCUAAUACCGGAUAUGACUCCAUGACGCAUGUUGUGGGGUGGAAAGCCUUGUGCGGCUGAGGAUGGGCCCGCGGCUUAUCAGCUUGUUGGUGGGGUGAUGGCCUACCAAGGCGACGACGGGUAGCCGGCCUGAGA